CCUACGGGAGGCAGCAGUGAGGAAUAUUGGUCAAUGGCCGGAAGGCUGAACCAGCCAUGCCGCGUGAAGGUCAGUGCCCUAUGGGCGUUAAACUUCUUUUGUGCGGGAGCAAUAAUGGUCACGUGUGGCCAGACGAGAGUACCCUACGAAUAAGCAUCCGCUAACUCCGUGCCAGCAGCCGCGGUAAUACGGGGGAUGCAAGCGUUAUCCGGAUUUAUUGGGUUUAAAGGGUGCGUAGGCUGUGAGGUAAGUCAGCGGUGAAAUGCCCCCGCUCAACGGGGUGAAGUGCCAUUGAUACUGCCUGGCUGGAAUGCGGAUGACGUAGGAGGAAUGUGUGGUGUAGCGGUGAAAUGCAUAGAUAUCACACAGAACACCGAUUGCGAAGGCAUCUCACGAAUCCGCGAUUGACGCUGAUGCACGAAAGCGUGGGUAUCAAACAGGAUUAGAUACCCCAGUAGUC
rnacentral:rRNA from 1 species